GAUGAACGCUAGCUACAGGCUUAACACAUGCAAGUCGAGGGGUAACGAGAGGAAAGCUUGCUUUCCUUGUCGACGACCGGCGCACGGGUGAGUAACGCGUAUCCAACCUGCCCCCAACUAGGGAAUAACCUUGCGAAAGUAAGACUAAUACCCUAUAAUUUCCUCAGAUGACAUCUGACGAGGAAUAAAGAUUUAUCGGUUGUGGAUGGGGAUGCGUCUGAUUAGCUUGUUGGCGGGGUAACGGCCCACCAAGGCAACGAUCAGUAGGGGUUUUUGGAGGAAGGUCCCCCACAUUGGAACUGAGACACGGUCCAAACUCCUACGGGAGGCAGCAGUGAGGAAUAUUGGUCAAUGGGCGGAAGCCUGAACCAGCCAAGUAGCGUGCAGGAUGACGGCCCUAUGGGUUGUAAACUGCUUUUAUACAGGAAUAAAGUUAGCCACGUGUGGUUAUUUGUAGGUACUGUAUGAAUAAGGACCGGCUAAUUCCGUGCCAGCAGCCGCCGUAA
rnacentral:rRNA from 1 species